CCUACGGGAGGCAGCAGUGAGGAAUAUUGGUCAAUGGACGAGAGUCUGAACCAGCCAAGUAGCGUGAAGGAUGACUGCCCUAUGGGUUGUAAACUUCUUUUAUAUGGGAAUAAAACGUUCCACGUGUGGGAUUUUGUAUGUACCAUAUGAAUAAGGAUCGGCUAACUCCGUGCCAGCAGCCGCGGUAAUACGGAGGAUCCGAGCGUUAUCCGGAUUUAUUGGGGUUAAAGGGAGCGUAGGUGGAUUGUUAAGUCAGUUGUGAAAGUUUGCGGCUCAACCGUAAAAUUGCAGUUGAAACUGGCAGUCUUGAGUACAGUAGAGGUGGGCGGAAUUCGUGGUGUAGCGGUGAAAUGCUUAGAUAUCACGAAGAACUGCGAUUGCGAAGGCAGUUCACUGGACUGCAACUGACACUGAGGCUCGAAAGUGUGGGUAUCAAACAGGAUUAGAUACCCUAGUAGUC
rnacentral:rRNA from 1 species